AGCGAACGCUGGCGGCAGGCUUAACACAUGCAAGUCGAGCGGGCACUUUCGGGUGUCAGCGGCGGACGGGUGAGUAACGCGUGGGAACGUGCCCUCUGGUUCGGAAUAACUCAGGGAAACUUGAGCUAAUACCGGAUACGCCCUUUUGGGGAAAGGCUUGCUGCCGGAGGAUCGGCCCGCGUCUGAUUAGCUAGUUGGUGAGGUAACGGCUCACCAAGGCGACGAUCCGUAGCUGGUCUGAGAGGAUGAUCAGCCACACUGGGACUGAGACACGGCCCAGACUCCUACGGGAGGCAGCAGUGGGGAAUAUUGGACAAUGGGCGCAAGCCUGAUCCAGCCAUGCCGCGUGAGUGAUGAAGGCCUUAGGGCUGUAAAGCUCUUUUAUCCGGGACGAUAAUGACGGUACCGGAGGAAUAAGCCCCGGCUAACUUCGUG
rnacentral:rRNA from 1 species